rnacentral:rRNA from 1 species
GAUGUUCCUUUUGUGCCAGCAGCCGCGGUAAUACGGAGGAUGCGAGCGUUAUCCGGAUUUAUUGGGUUUAAAGGGAGCGCAGACGGGUCGUUAAGUCAGCUGUGAAAGUUUGGGGCUCAACCUUAAAAUUGCAGUUGAUACUGGCGUCCUUGAGUGCGGUUGAGGUGUGCGGAAUUCGUGGUGUAGCGGUGAAAUGCUUAGAUAUCACGAAGAACUCCGAUUGCGAAGGCAGCACACUAAUCCGUAACUGACGUUCAUGCUCGAAAGUGUGGGUAUCAAACAGG